GGCUUAAACCCUCAAUGCGCUUCUGAAAUUCGAGAAGUCAUUUCCGAAACGAAAAACCAGAAAUUAACAUGUCUUGCGCCACCGUCACCACCACCUUCGACCUCGGACCAGCUCUUAAUCCACGCAGCAGUACCAACAGUCUUAGACUUCCGAUUCCGUUCUCAAGCUGCCGUUUCGGUAACUCCCCCACGUCGUUCUCCGUGAGAUCCCUCCGCUCUAACUCCGGCAAUCACCUCUCUUUCUCUCCCCGGGACUCGCUUUUUUUAAAUGGCUCACGGCCUUCUUCUUCCAGUCUCUUAAACUGCCAUGCUCUUAAAUCUGACUCAUUGGUUUCACUUGGUGCCCAAACCGAUACUGCUUCUGAAGAAGAGAGGGUGGUGGUUUUGGUCAUUGGUGGAGGGGGAAGAGAACAUGCACUUUGCUAUGCCUUGCAGAGAUCUCCCUCUGUUGAUGCAGUCUUCUGUGCGCCUGGUAAUGCUGGGAUUUCCAACUCGGGGAGUGCCACUUGUAUUUCUGACCUUGACAUCUUUGACAGCUCUGCUGUAAUAUCCUUCUGCUGCAAAUGGGGUGUGGGGCUGGUUGUUGUUGGACCGGAGGCACCUCUUGUUUCAGGCCUUGCAAAUGAUCUAUCUAAGGCUGGAAUCCCUACUUUUGGCCCUUCAGCAGAGGCUGCUGCUUUGGAAGGUUCCAAGAACUUCAUGAAGAAUUUGUGUGAUAAGUAUGGAAUUCCUACUGCUAAGUACAAAACAUUUACCAAUCCAUCUGCUGCAAAGCAAUACAUUCAAGAGCAAGGGUCCCCAAUUGUUAUCAAAGCAGAUGGAUUGGCAUCUGGAAAGGGAGUUAUUGUUGCUACGACUUUGGAGGAAGCAUAUGAGGCUGUUGAUUCAAUGCUUGUUAAGGGUGUUUUUGGUUCUGCAGGUUGUCGUGUCAUCGUUGAAGAAUAUUUGGAAGGAGAAGAAGUGUCUUUUUUUGCCUUGGUGGAUGGAGAGAAUGCGAUUGCUCUAGAGUCUGCUCAGGACCAUAAACGAGUUGGGGAUGGUGAUACAGGGCCCAAUACAGGUGGGAUGGGGGCAUAUUCCCCUGCACCCAUAUUAACAAGAGAACUUCAGUCAUUGGUCAUGGAAUCCAUAAUCCUCCCUACUGUAAAAGGAAUGGCUGCAGAGGGGUGCAAAUUCGUUGGGGUUUUGUAUGCAGGGCUCAUGAUUGAGAAGAAGUCUGGCUUACCGAAGCUAAUUGAGUACAACGUGCGUUUUGGAGAUCCAGAGUGUCAGGUGUUGAUGGUUCGGUUGGAGUCUGAUCUGGCACAAGUUCUGCUUGCAGCCUGUAGAGGAGAGCUAAGCGGAGUAUCCCUGAACUGGUCCCCAGGGUCUGCCAUGGUGGUAGUGAUGGCAAGUAAGGGCUACCCUGGGGCCUAUGAGAAGGGAACUGUGAUUAGAAACCUUGAAGAAGCAGAGCAUGUUAGUUCAUGUGUUAAGAUAUUCCACGCAGGAACAACCCAAGACCCGGUGGGUAACUUCGUUGCAGUUGGGGGACGUGUGCUUGGGGUCACCGCAAAAGGAAGAGAUCUUGAAGAGGCGCGGGAUCGAGCUUACCAGGCUGUUGAUGAAAUUAACUGGUCAGGAGGAUUCUGCAGGCGGGAUAUUGGUUGGAGGGCACUUCCUCGGAAACAAUUUGCUACAAAAGGGUGAAUCAAAUGCUUUGUAUUGUAACACAGCAUGGGUGAAUAUUUAAAAAAAUUGCUCAUGGUAUAAAUUAACAUCUUCCAAAGAGAGGAGAUAAAAGGCCAGAGCUACUCAGUAUUGAAUCCAACGGCCAGCAUUCUCUCAUUCAUUCGCAGUGGGAGUACUAGAUCAUUCUCGAACUCUCCACGCGUCACAUCCCCUCUCCUUCCCUUGCUCAUAAACCCUCCUCCAACCCUAACCCUCGUCUAUCUUCCGUUUUUCUAUCUCUCGUUCCGAGCAAAGUUGUUGGAGUUUCGACUUCAACCCCACACUUCCUCUUCCUUCUUCCCUCCUCCGCUUUAGAUUUUUCAGUUUUAUUUUCUUCUUCUCUCUCACUCUCCCGUAUACUUCUCCCGUAUACUCUAGCCGAAACCCUCAUUCAUUGAUACUUUCUCAAUGGCUUCCUCCACAGCCCAAAUCCAUAC